UCGGAAUUCGUAGAAGUACGAAAUUAAAACGCUCGAUACGGAUGUUCCGAGGACGGGAGAUAAAACGUAGCGAUUAAAUAAAAUGCUCGCGUGAUACCUACGACAACGGCGAGAUCGUCGGACCCGACGCCGAACGAUUCGAAACGUGGGCGAAUAUUCUUUGGACGGUACCGGGCGAAAAGGCUGUCGGUCCGGUCGUCUUGCGACGGCAUAAUAAUUGCUUUUUUCC